CCUACUGGUGGCAGCAGUCGAGAAUUAUUCACAAUGGGGGAAACCCUGAUGGUGCGACGCCGCGUGGGGGAAUGAAGGUCUUCGGAUUGUAAACCCUGUCAUGUGGGAGCAAAUUAAAAAGAUAGUACCACAAGAGGAAGAGACGGCUAACUCUGUGCCAGCAGCCGCGGUAAUACAGAGGUCUCAAGCGUUGUUCGGAAUCACUGGGCGUAAAGGGUGCGUAGGCUGUUUCGUAAGUCGUGUGUGAAAGGCGCGGGCUCAACCCGCGGCCGGCACAUAAUACUGCGGGACUAGAGGAAUGGCGGGGGAACCGGAAUUAUCGGAGUAGCAGUGAAAUGCGUAGAUAUCGAGAGGAACACUCGUGGCGAAGGCGGGUUCCUGGACAUUAACUGACGCUGAGGCACGAAGGCCAGGGGAGCGAAGGGGAUUAGAUACCCGGGUAGUC
rnacentral:rRNA from 1 species